UACGUAGGGUGCAAGCGUUGUCCGGAAUUAUUGGGCGUAAAGAGCUCGUAGGCGGUCUGUCGCGUCGGCUGUGAAAUCCCGGAGCUCAACUCCGGGUCUGCAGUCGAUACGGGCAAACUGGAGUACUGCAGGGGAGACUGGAAUUCCUGGUGUAGCGGUGAAAUGCGCAGAUAUCAGGAGGAACACCGGUGGCGAAGGCGGGUCUCUGGGCAGUAACUGACGCUGAGGAGCGAAAGCGUGGGGAGUGAACAGG
rnacentral:rRNA from 1 species